CGCAUGAUAUUGACGGCAUGGCGCGGACCAUUGCCAUUGCAUUGUCGAUGCCGGCGAUGGAACGGCGGAUGCGGUGGGAGGCGAUGAUGACCAAACUACGCGCCGGCACCAUCCAUCGCUGGUUCUCCGACUUCAUCGAGGCGCUCGAAAACGCGCAUGUGGGGGCGGGGCCGAGCAUAUUGCCGUCGGUCGUUCGUCCGUUGCGGGUCG
rnacentral:misc_RNA from 1 species